rnacentral:misc_RNA from 1 species
CAAAACAAAACAUUACCUCUCACCGGGAACAUCAGGAAUCCAUUUCUUCUGAUCGAUCUUUCAGAAUGGGAUCCACUUGUGAAGGUGGAACCAUUUCAAGGAUCCAUGGUUGCGUGGAUUCGUUUGAGCUACUAGGUUUCGCAGCCAGGGGCGUAUUUAUAAGCCCUAGGCGAAGGAUAAAUGCACCUGGUGUUGGAGAUGCAAGCCCAUUGAGAGCGUGGAAACAAUAUCUAGAAGCUAACUUGCUAACACAGUGGAAUAUCUGCUGACCAAAUAAACUAGUUAGAUGAUGGAACAUAG